AUGAAGCACUAAGAGGUGGAGAUUCUGGAUGCAAAGACAAGGGAGAAGCUGGUUUCCUGGACAAGGUGGAGCCCCAUGCCACCAUUGCGGAGAUCAAGAACCUCUUCACCAAGACCCAUCCGCAGUGGUACCCUGCCCACCAGUCCCUCCACCUGGACCCCAAGGGCAAGUCCCUGAAGGAUGAGGGAUGUUCUGAAGAAGCUGCCCAUGGGCACCACGGCCACACUCUACUUCCGGGACCUGGGGGCCCAGAUCAGCUGGGUGACGGUCUUCCUAACAGAGUACACGGGGUCUUUUUCAUCUAUCUGCUCUUCUACUUCCCAGUGCCCUUCAUUUGUGGCCACAAAUAUGACUUCACAUCCAGUUGGCACACGGUGGUACACCUCCCCUGCAUCCGUCACUCAUUCCACUAUGUCAAACACCUGCUGGAGACGCUCUUCGUGCGCCACUUCUCCCAUGGCACCAUGCCUUUGCCCAACAUCUUCAAGAACUGCACCUACUACGGGGGCUUCAAUGCGUGCCUGGCCUAUUAUAUCAAUCACCUGCCCCCUACUUACGGAGCUCAGCAGGUGAAACUGGCACUCGCCAUCUUCGUGAUCUGCCUGUGCUUGGCGGCUUCUCCA